rnacentral:rRNA from 1 species
AUUGAACGCUGGCGGCAGGCCUAACACAUGCAAGUCGAGCGAGCGGCGGACGGGUGAGUAAUGUCUGGGAAACUGCCUGAUGGAGGGGGAUCAACACUGGAAACGGUAGCUAAUACCGCACACCAUCAGAUGUGCCCAGAUGGGAUUAGCUAGUAGGUGGGGUAAUGGCCAACAUAGGCGACGAUCCCUAGCUGGUCUGAGCGGAUGACCAGCCACACUGGAACUGAGACACGGUCCAGACUCCUACGGGAGGCAGCAGUGGGGAAUAUUGCACAAUGGGCGCAAGCCUGAUGCAGCCAUGCCGCGUGUGUGAAGAAGGCCUUCGGAUUGUAAAGCACUUUCAGCGGGGAGGCGUUACCCGCAGAAGAAGCACCGGCUAACUCCGUGUCAGCCGCCGCGGUAAUAC